GAUGAAGAACGUAGUGAAAUGCGAUAAGUAAUGUGAAUUGCAGAAUUCAGUGAAUCAUCGAAUCUUUGAACGCAUCUUGCGCUCCUUGGUAUUCUGAGGAGCAUGCCUGUUUGAGUGUCAUUAAAUUCUCAACUACACUGACUUUGAAUUGGUGUGGCUUGGAUUUGGGGGGAAAAUUGUUGUGGGCUUUUUGUAUAGUCUGCUCCCCUGAAAUUGAUUAGCGGUACCUUUGUGGAACUGUCUACAGGUGUGAUAAUUAUCUACAUCUUAGACAUCUGCUGGAAUGCUGCUUUCUAAACCUUACUUGUAUUGACAAUCUUGACCUCAAAGCAGGUAGGACUACCCGCUGAACUUAAGCAUAUCAAUAAGCGGAGGA
rnacentral:misc_RNA from 1 species